UCAUCCUGCAAUCGUCAACCAUUCAUUCCCCACCCCCGAUCCUUUUCUCGCUCGGAAAACGGACAAUAAGUUUCUUUUCCUUUUUUCAAAAAGAGGAAGAGGAAAUAGUCGAAAUGGAAAUAGAAACUCGUUGUUUGCGCAACACGCGACGAGUGCGUGCGUGCGUGCGUCUGUUCGAAUGCGGCUAUCAUCGAGUAUCUCGCGCUCGUACCAUCACUGUUCCGCGACUGAACGUGCGGUUGGCGCUCAUAGAUUAUCGCGAUUAUUUUCCACAAGAUAAGAAGUUAAUUAUCGAUCAACCCGCUGAUUGACUACGAUACUGCGCGUAAAAUAUCGCGUAGCGACGUACGUGCGUUCCUCGCCAUCGAUCGUCAAAUUUUUCUCUGUCGAAAUAUAUAUAUAAUAACAAAAAGAAACGUGUACGAUUCGCAAGUUUAAAGGCGUGGCUCGUUCGCCGGAUUUCUUUCCACUCCGCUCGAGUAUGCGAACGCUAUUCCGCUAGUUAUUAUUUGUUGCUCGACAAAACGGAUUCUUUCUCGUGCUGCAUAAAAUCGGCCGUGAUGCAACCGUGAAAAUUUCACGCUUCGAGGUGUUUUGCCUCGAUCGAUUCGUUCGUAACGCGCUUUCGUUCGCUUCGAUUUUAUUCGUACUCGGCAAAAGGAAGGAAAGGCGGUUUCGAUCGAUCUGGGUGAACAACAUUAUCAUUCGCUAUUGAGCGCAUCUUUUCGAGUCCAGUAAUCAAGUUAUUUUUACGUUUACGAUGAAUCGAAUUCGAUUGGAUGUAUCUUAGUCAAAAUCUUAUCGCGAGAUAUUGAUAAAAAUACGACUUCUUUUUCUUUCAAACGAUGUUUAAAAAUAGAGAUCUAAUUGAUCGUUCGAGAUCGAGUCUCGCUCAGACGAUCGAGGAAAAUGAAGAUAAAAUACGUGAGCGGGUUUUGGUAUUCACGUACUCGCUUGAGACCAGGCUCAAGAAGGGUCGACACAAUGCAAGCACGUUCCUCCGAUGUCACGUACGCGUAAUUACGCGUCAGUUUCAAUUUUUAUUUUAUUUCGCCUGGUGAAUAUUUCAAAAGGUAAAAGGCUCCUCGUGCACUUUCUCCCGUUGAGUUCUCAUUCCGCUCGAGCAGAGCAACGCGCUUCGAACGAGAAAAAUUUUCGAGCUUACUCCAACGAAGAAAAAAAAAAGAAGAAAAAGAAGAAGGAGAAACAGAAACUGGAAUAAAAAAAAAAGAAAGAUUCUCUCGUGUACUCUACAAAACAAGUCUUCGCGUAAACUUUCAUCCGCUCGUUCAAAAAAUUUCAAUAAUAAUGGAAGUCAGUUUUCGUGUCAAGAUAUUCUGUCAACCGAAAGCCUCAGUUAAAAAGAGACGAAUACGAAACGAUGAAUCGUCUCAGAUUCGAAUCGAAAGUUUAAUUGAUGUAACUCGAAAACGAAAGAAAAAAAAACUCGUCGUAAAUCAAUUUCAUUCAACAAGUUAACAACAAAGAGAUGGUAUGAAAGGAAAGAUAUAGCGUUGUCAAUAAAUGGAUAAAAAAAAUAUUAAUUUCGAGUGGAAAAUGAUCGAUAAUAAAAAAAAAAAAGAAGAAAAGGAAUAUUGAAAUUUUUCAAUAGAUUGUUCGACAGUUAAUUCGAAAUUGAAAAAAAAAGACAAUCGUAGAAGAUAAUCGCUCCUCCGUCGUAAAAAUUUCAAUAAAUCUAAAAAGGAUAAGUUUCGACAAAGGGGAACGAUAAUUCGAACGUGGAUCCACUCUCGAGAGAUUAAUUCAUCGUCUUAUAAAUCAAUUUCACUUACGAACAAAGAGAUGAAACGAAAUGAACGUCGUGGAACCGCGCGCGUUCCGCGCCACGCACGCAUAAUAAUCACGUUGCGGUUGUUGUUGUUGUUGUUGUUGCUGUUUGCGUCGUUAUAUAUACAUCGCGAACGAUAGAUCAUUCACACUGGUAACGCACGUGUACGCUCUUGAUGCACACCGUUGAUGCUAUCGACGACGGCCGAGGGAACAACCUCGUUUUCGUCCAAUUCGAUUUCACGCUGCAACUUUCCCCUUAACCCUUUCGAGACGAAUUUUUUCCUCUUAAUUCGAUCAAAAUUAAAUUCGACUCGAGAAUUUCACUUGUUCCACAAUUAUCGAGUAAACGACCACGAUAUAUUUACUCGAUGUAUAACAAUGGCGAAUAACAAUAUCGGAAUGAAAAUUAAAAAAAAAAAAAAAAAGGAAAGAGUGAUUUGAACGGACAAAGACAAAGAGUUUGCGGGAAUAUUGAAAGGUAUCGGAGGAUCACUUUUGUUCGCUCUGGAAAGAGACAAUGGACGUUAAUAACGAUCAUCUGCACGAGAUGAUAGGUAGAUUGUUUGGGAUAGGGAUGUUUUGUAGUUUCGAUAUAAAGAAGGAAUUUUCGAGCGUUUAGAAAGUGACUUGGCAAGGGAAAAUAACGAUUCGUGGAAAACGAAAGUUCGAUACUGUUGCAUCUUUCCAGCCAAUUAGGAUUAUUAUUUAAUUUUCUCUCUUGAUUUCGAUCGUUCGAAAUAUACUCGAAAGAGAAGAGCAUCGAAGAACAAACCGGGGGAAAGUUGCCAUUUUCUCUUUUAUUUUCGAAACGAUGAUAAAUAAUACACGAUGAUUUUGAAAUUAUUCACCAUAUUUGAAAGAGUCAAAGUACACACGGAAGAAGAUAGAAAUAUUUAGCGAGAAAACUCUGAGUCACAGAGUUAAUAAAGAUCGAUGAAACGUGCUCUCGAUUUCGUUCGAUUCAACGAUAUAACGCAUGCUCGAGGAAUGCAAAACGGUGGUCGAAACGAAACAAUGGCCGUUAACUAAUAAGGAUCAAGUUCACUCGCGCUCAAGUCAGGUGUCGUCCAUCCUCGAAUAACGACAAACAGUCUUCCAAACUGACUCGAUAUUCUUAGGAAACCACGUCGAAAAAGGAAUUCAUCCAAGAUCGAUAUUUCAACUUACUCAACGCGUUAUCGAUUACUCCUUUCGAUAAGUAAAAUUCGAGAAAGAAAGAAAAAAAAGAAUUAUUCCCAAUGGAAUGUAAAUUAAUCACUGAAGGAGAGUAGCACCAUAAUUUCAACUACGACUCAAAAAUGUUCUCGACGACGAGUCCAUCCAACCAAUCCACGAAUCCAUCCUCGUUAACGUUAUCCCACAAGUGUGCACGCACAACACACGCGCGCGCGUCAAUCGUCAAAGCAGUUGCACGCUAAUCAAGCAAACUUCCUCCCAACGACGCGUGCUCCAUUGUUCUUUGGAGGAACAGUUUGGGAAACGUUGCCAUACCGGUUCCACGACCACUUCGUUACUACCAACGACCCAGAUUAUCGCAAAUGAUCGGAAAUAAUUUCUCAACUACCGAUCUUACCUGGAUGGAAGAACAAUUUUCAAUGGGAACGAAGAGAGACAAGGCGCGGGGAAUUGAUUCGAGAAAUGCAAGAGGGAGAAAAAAGUGGGAGGAACUGUAAACAUGGCGUUAAGAUAAGCGAUACAUUUAAGACUAUAUUCGUGGACAAACAUUUAUAUAAUGUAAGAAGAAAGGGGGAGGGAGGGAAAGAAAAAAAAAGACAAACGUCUGUCGAGGAUUAUAGCGUAUAAGCGGUAAUACAGAGAGGACUGUAGUGGCGAUCGUUAGACUUGCAAAUAAGUAACCACGCGAUGGUUAAACGCUGCAAUUUAAUAUCCCUGUAUUUCCCUUGGAGAGGUUAAAUAUAUGCAGACACACUGGAGUAGAUAUGCUCCAUUAUGCGGCUCCCCUGCACGGACUUUCCAUUCGAUUCGAGAGAAACGAAAAGGAGGGAUACAGAAGAAAAAAAAAAAAAUUGGAAACGCGGAUGAAAUUCAUUGGGAUUUUUUCAUUUGGCGCGGGAUAAUUUUUAUCCUCCAUUCGAAUGAAAAGAGAACAUGAACGCACGAGAGACACGCGAAUUCGAAAUAUGGUGAUUAUGAAUUGAAUAUGUUAUUUUAUUCGAAGGGGAAUAAAGGGAUUGGAGACGAGGGACGUGUGAAAUUGAAACCAUGAAUUUCGUUGCGUUUGUUUCAACCUCCAAUUUAAUUCGAGAGAAGUAAAACGAGAGACGGGAAAGAAAAUCCAAAAAGAAAAUAGCGAUAGAGAUACCAUAAAUUUAGUUGUUUAAUUAAAAUUGUACGUUAUUACGAGUUAAAAACAUCUUAUUAUACUUUAAACGAGUAUAUUAUACAGUUUAAACUAAAUCUCGGUAGCGCUGCUGGACUCUUAAUGGAAGUACAACAGAGGCUUCAUAAAGGCUCAAAUAAAAUCUCUAAUCGCAUCCAAUUAGGAUGUUUUAAGUAUUAAUAAUUCUGAUUACUAUAUUUAGCUCAAUUUAGACAAAUAACAAUUUAUGAAUUCCAUUACACAUUAAUAAACUCAAUUGAAACGCAUAA